GCACGGCCCCGGGCACCGGUGGAGUCCGCUGGAGGACGGUCGGAUGCCGGUCAGCCCUCAAGCGUCUCCCUUGCUCGCUUACCCCAGCGUGGCUCCUGGAAAGUCAGGCUCGGGUGACAGCAGUAGCUAAGAGCCCCUGACGUCGGCGGAGCAGCACGGCCAAGUACAGCGGGAGGAGGGAACGAGGCGGGUCACACGGGCCAGCCAAGCCUCGAAGUGGCGCGGGUCACAAUCCAGGAUGUCACAAGGCCACUUGGACCUGCGAGGAGGUUGGCACACAGUCCAGCUGACUGACUAGAAGGCGGGAGAAGCAGGCUGGGCUCUGCUGUCCUUCUUCACGCCCUUGAGCGAUCACGAGCUCAUCUGCCUCCUCCAGGAGAUCCUGAUUUGCUUGCUCUGGGCACCCAUGCGCGUCAGGUCUCCCUCCAGCUCAUGCCUCGUGCUGUGCACCUGCAGGACCCAUGGAACCCUUGGUGACCGCAGUGACAUGGCCAUUGCUUGGUCGGUGCGGAAGCCCAGCAAGACCGGCUGGAAUCCUUCCUCCUUAUCCAGGCACUUUGGUAAAGAAGAGUUCAGCCUGAAGAUCCCCUAUGGUCAGCAGGUCAAGGCCACUUGUGCCCCUUGCCUUGACCUCUUUCCAACAUCAACCGUUUGGGUGGGCCGCAACCACCAUGCCGGAGGACCAGAAGGCGGGGUCUGGGGCUGCAGACUGCCGUGAAGGCCUGGGUAGGAUUGGUCACUACGGUCCCCUCUACAGUCUCGCUUGAAGAUGAG
rnacentral:lncRNA from 1 species